CUCUAUGCAUACAUGGUUGCAGCGGUACAUACCUGUAAAUACAGCAUGCUAUAACGAGUUUUCUCUGUAUUCAUGAACAAAGCUAUGGAACCUUGAAUUAAUCAUACCAUGCAGGGUUAGGGUCAUCAUAUUUUUACACAUUGGAGGUUGAUUCUGUUCUCUUUUAUCAUAGCAGUCAUUGGUGGUUGGUUUACCGUAGAUAACAGCACCUAUGCGAUUGAGCUUAUCCUUUGUGAUUGUCACAAGUUCCCAACACAUGGAUUUUGUCAACGCAGACAUUGCUAGGAUAAAAAAUGGUAUUUGACCGUUAGUCUUGAAGCUCAAAAACUUAAUAAACUAUAUUUCAAACUUGAUCAUGUUUCUAGUAAUCUUACCUUCCAGUUUUCCGCAUCUUCUUCCAGCUGCCUAGUACACUGGGGUAGCUGCCUAGUGCACUGGGGUAGCGGACCAGACAAAGUAACUUCCGGGUCUCAGAACUCUAUUAAUCUCCAAAAGUAGACCCCCUAUGAACAAUUUCUCCAUCAAACUUGAACGAAGAACAAAGGGAGUCAAUGGACUGAGGACUAUAUUAUGAAAUUUUGAGAUUUGAUUAGCUCUAAUCUAGUGGAAGAAAGGAAUCAAUUAGAAGCACGGUUUUCCUUCUUUAAGGCUGGAUACGUGGAAGAUUUUGUUAUGCAUGGUAUGAUCAGCAUUUAAUAAUUAACAAACUUUGACAGCUAUUAUGUAACUGUAUUGCAUAGACUAUUCUCUUCUUAGAAAUCUAAGAAUGUUAAAAAAAUGGAUAAAAGUUCUAAUCUCUUGCACUUCAUGAAUGAAGUGUUUUUUUUAUAAAAAAGCUCCUCUUCUUUGUUUCUCUCUCGCUACAACCUUAAAGAAAUGUAGUUGUGGAAGGGGUUUUAUUUUAUAUUUACGUUAAUGUCAAAUCAACAGGGAAUAAAUAAAAUCAUGUUUUAAGUUAUUUAGUGUGAUUGCCUUCACUUAUCAUGUUUUUUAGAAAGGUGGUACGUGAAUGGAGAUAGGAUGAUUUUUGAUCUCUUGUUAGUUCUUAACAGAAAAUUGUAUGAAAAGCUAAUCUAGUUUAGGCUUAUUUAUAUCAAUGUGGUCUUCUUUAAUUGAAGAGCUGGAUAAAAACUUUCUUUUGUCGUGGGAAUAUCUUAUCAUUGAUAAAUCUUGAAUUAUGUGGAAACAAUGAUCAAGGAGGAAGAUGAGGAUUGAACUCUGGCUGUAGUAAAUACUAUGGAAAAGGCCUUACAAUUGCGUGAUGGAGAUGCUAAUUUUCUUACUAAGAGAACAACUAAAUCUAGAUCAUAAAUUUUUCUUUCUAGAUCAUAUCCUAAGAGAAGAGGAGGAUGCUGACAUAAUUAUUGUUGAGAUGUAAGGAUUCAUUGUCCUUUUUCACAGUUUUUUAAUGAUGCAUUUGCUAUUAUACAUUACAUAAUCUGCAUUGUGGAUGUUGCGGCACUUGCUGAAAGCGACUGAUAGAGGUAGAAUAUGAGAUAUGAUAGAAAACUUAAUGAUAAAAUCCAUAAGGAUUUGCGCGUUCAUGUUUAGCUCAAUUUUUUUUCAAGAAUUACUGCUGCAUCUUGAGUUUUAGUUCAAAACGAAUUCUAGUGUCUUGAAUCAGGAUCUUUGAGAAAGUUUUAGUUGAUGAUAAGAUGCAUGUGUGGAAAGUCGAGUUCUUUCAAGGAGUUGAACUUGUGGGUUCUGUUUUGGUUCAAUUUCUUUUCAAGAAAUGUUGUGUAUUGAGUUUUUGUUUAAACUAAAGACUUUCUUUCCUUAUUGGAUUUCUUGAUAAAGUUUUAUUUCACGAUAAAAACCAUAAAGGUUUGUACGUUCAUGUUAACUCAAUUUUUUUUCCAAAAAAUAUUGAGUUUUAGUUUAAAA